AAAUUGAAGAGUUUGAUCAUGGCUCAGAUUGAACGCUGGCGGCAGGCCUAACACAUGCAAGUCGAGCGGUAGCACAGAAGAGCUUGCUCUUUGGGUGACGAGCGGCGGACGGGUGAGUAAUGUCUGGGAAACUGCCUGAUGGAGGGGGAUAACUACUGGAAACGGUAGCUAAUACCGCAUAACCUCGCAAGAGCAAAGAGGGGGACCUUCGGGCCUCUCGCCAUCAGAUGUGCCCAGAUGGGAUUAGCUAGUAGGUGAGGUAAUGGCUCACCUAGGCGACGAUCCCUAGCUGGUCUGAGAGGAUGACCAGCCACACUGGAACUGAGACACGGUCCAGACUCCUACGGGAGGCAGCAGUGGGGAAUAUUGCACAAUGGGCGCAAGCCUGAUGCAGCCAUGCCGCGUGUGUGAAGAAGGCCUUCGGGUUGUAAAGCACUUUCAGCGAGGAGGAAGGCGGUAAGGUUAAUAACCUUAUCGAUUGACGUUACUCGCAGAAGAAGCACCGGCUAACUCCGUGCCAGCAGCCGCGGUAAUACGGAGGGUGCAAGCGUUAAUCGGAAUGACUGGGCGUAAAGCGCACGCAGGCGGUCUGUUAAGUUGGAUGUGAAAUCCCCGGGCUUAACCUGGGAACUGCAUUCAAAACUGACAGGCUAGAGUCUUGUAGAGGGGGGUAGAAUUCCAGGUGUAGCGGUGAAAUGCGUAGAGAUCUGGAGGAAUACCGGUGGCGAAGGCGGCCCCUGGACAAAGACUGACGCUCAGGUGCGAAAGCGUGGGGAGCAAACAGGAUUAGAUACCCUGGUAGUCCACGCUGUAAACGAUGUCGAUUUGGAGGUUGUGCCCUUGAGGCGUGGCUUCCGGAGCUAACGCGUUAAAUCGACCGCCUGGGGAGUACGGCCGCAAGGUUAAAACUCAAAUGAAUUGACGGGGGCCCGCACAAGCGGUGGAGCAUGUGGUUUAAUUCGAUGCAACGCGAAGAACCUUACCUACUCUUGACAUCCAGAGAAUUAGCUAGAGAUAGCUGAGUGCCUUCGGGAACUCUGAGACAGGUGCUGCAUGGCUGUCGUCAGCUCGUGUUGUGAAAUGUUGGGUUAAGUCCCGCAACGAGCGCAACCCUUAUCCUUUGUUGCCAGCGAUUCGGUCGGGAACUCAAAGGAGACUGCCGGUGAUAAACCGGAGGAAGGUGGGGAUGACGUCAAGUCAUCAUGGCCCUUACGAGUAGGGCUACACACGUGCUACAAUGGCGUAUACAAAGAGAAGCGACCUCGCGAGAGCAAGCGGACCUCAUAAAGUACGUCGUAGUCCGGAUUGGAGUCUGCAACUCGACUCCAUGAAGUCGGAAUCGCUAGUAAUCGUAGAUCAGAAUGCUACGGUGAAUACGUUCCCGGGCCUUGUACACACCGCCCGUCACACCAUGGGAGUGGGUUGCAAAAGAAGUAGGUAGCUUAACCUUCGGGAGGGCGCUUACCACUUUGUGAUUCAUGACUGGGGUGAAGUCGUAACAAGGUAACCGUAGGGGAACCUGCGGUUGGAUCACCUCCUUACCAAGAAG
rnacentral:rRNA from 1 species